GCGCUGAACUGCAGCUUGCUGUGGCCUGACACAUGUUGCGUGCGUCUUGGAGUUGUGUCCGAGGAGGAGAUGUUCAGGAGCACGGAGCCGUCCGGUACACCGAAAUUGAUGAUAUAAGAAGGAACCCCUCGACCAGGAUUAGAUCGCAUCGAAAGUUUCUUGCCCGACAUCGCCGUGUUACAAGUUUUUGACAUCGCCAUUCCUGUACGCCGUCGAUUUCGCCGGAGAUCCGUCUGCACGUGCUCCACCGCCCGCCGGAAUUUCUCCCGGUCUAAGGGUAGCCUGUAGUUCCUGCCGAGUCACAGAGUAACAUUGAGGUGAGGAGGCGGCGGCCAGCACAAGCCCCAGGAGCCGCAGUGGGGCUACGAGAACGGCGACAACAAUGACUAGCGGCCGCCAGGUCUUGGUGGCAUGACAUCCUCCUUGUCCAUCAUAACGUACUUCUCCACCGCCCAGUGUGGGUGACGACGCGGCAGCGGUCGACCAGCACUCGUGGCGGCGCUUGCCCAUCUGACGCGAUGGCGGAUUGGCGGCUCGGGCCCUCGGCAGUCGGCAGAGCGAAGUUCACGAUGUCUCUCUCUGGACAGGGUGGAGCUCGUGCAUCCGGCGUGGCUGAUGCAUCUGCGCAGCACUACGGAUCGCUGUGGGCACGACGACCUGAUGGCGCGUGCGAUGCGACGGCAGCCAGCGGUGCGGCACUGUAGUUGUCUCUGGAAAGCUGACGGGCGAGACAUGGGAGGCGGUGGGCGAGACAUGCACCGGGGUUGACUGGAUGAUGAGGUAACUACUAACUACUGGAUGACCAGGUGCUCAUGGAGGACUCGGUGAAUCAUGAAGCAGAUCGAGGAGUUCACUGACGCGCAUGUAUGACGGUUUUUCAAAUUUCAGAGGUAUAACGCACGGGCUGCAGUGCUUUACUAAACUGAAUCCUCUAUGCUUCUAACGUUUGCUUCUCUAGACUUUAUGGGGAAGGUGAAAUCGAUUAUUCUUUUACGACACUCAAAACAAAUCUUCUGAAUCUUUUGUCCGAUCAAUGUUAA